UUUCUUCAUGUGGCUGCAGAUGGCAGGAUUUCCCAAAGAUUUAUGGCUGAAACAUAUUCCGUGGUGUAUCUGUACAGCAGUUUCCUCAUCCCUGCAGCUGUGUUUGAACAGGUUCAACAGUAUGGCUCCAAAUGAUGAAAUUUCAUUUUGAUUUUCUGGCUGAAGACUAUUCUGUUUGUGUGCAUCCCCCACAGUCACUUUAUCCCUUCAUCUGUGGAUGGGCAGGUAUUAAGGAUCAGUUGUCGAUUCAUUCAUUUCACACAUUUCACUAGUGACACUGAAUACUGCAGAGCCAAAGAUGAAA